rnacentral:rRNA from 1 species
GAUGAACGCUGGCGGCGUGCCUAAUACAUGCAAGUCGAGCGAACGGACGAGAAGCUUGCUUCUCUGAUGUUAGCGGCGGACGGGUGAGUAACACGUGGAUAACCUACCUAUAAGACUGGGAUAACUUCGGGAAACCGGAGCUAAUACCGGAUAAUAUUUUGAACCGCAUGGUUCAAAAGUGAAAGACGGUCUUGCUGUCACUUAUAGAUGUAUCCGCGCUGCAUUAGAUAGUUGGUAAGGUAACGGCUUACCAAGGCAACGAUGCAUAGCCGACCUGAGAGGGUGAUCGGCCACACUGGAACUGAGACACGGUCCAGACUCCUACGGGAGGCAGCAGUAGGGAAUCUUCCGCAAAGGGCGAAAGCCUGACGGAGCAACGCCGCGUGAGUGAUGAAGGUCUUCGGAUCGUAAAACUCUGUUAUGAGGGAAGAACAUAUGUGUAAGUAACUGUGCACAUCUUGACGGUACCUAAUCAGAAAGCCACGGCUAACUACGUG